rnacentral:rRNA from 1 species
CAUGCAGUCGAGCGAACAGAUAAGGAGCUUGCUCCUUUGACGUUAGCGGCGGACGGGUGAGUAACACGUGGGUAACCUACCUAUAAGACUGGGAUAACUUCGGGAAACCGGAGCUAAUACCGGAUAACAUUUGGAACCGCAUGGUUCUAAAGUGAAAGAUGGUUUUGCUAUCACUUAUAGAUGGACCCGCGCCGUAUUAGCUAGUUGGUAAGGUAACGGCUUACCAAGGCGACGAUACGUAGCCGACCUGAGAGGGUGAUCGGCCACACUGGAACUGAGACACGGUCCAGACUCCUACGGGAGGCAGCAGUAGGGAAUCUUCCGCAAUGGGCGAAAGCCUGACGGAGCAACGCCGCGUGAGUGAUGAAGGGUUUCGGCUCGUAAAACUCUGUUAUUAGGGAAGAACAAAUGUGUAAGUAACUGUGCACGUCUUGACGGUACCUAAUCAGAAAGCCACGGCUAACUACGUGCCAGCAGCCGCGGUAAUACGUAGGUGGCAAGCGUUAUCCGGAAUUAUUGGGCGUAAAGCGCGCGUAGGCGGUUUCUUAAGUCUGAUGUGAAAGCCCACGGCUCAACCGUGGAGGGUCAUUGGAAACUGGGAAACUUGAGUGCAGAAGAGGAAAGUGGAAUUCCAUGUGUAGCGGUGAAAUGCGCAGAGAUAUGGAGGAACACCAGUGGCGAAGGCGACUUUCUGGUCUGUAACUGACGCUGAUGUGCGAAAGCGUGGGGAUCAAACAGGAUUAGAUACCCUGGUAGUCCACGCCGUAAACGAUGAGUGCUAAGUGUUAGGGGGUUUCCGCCCCUUAGUGCUGCAGCUAACGCAUUAAGCACUCCGCCUGGGGAGUACGACCGCAAGGUUGAAACUCAAAGGAAUUGACGGGGACCCGCACAAGCGGUGGAGCAUGUGGUUUAAUUCGAAGCAACGCGAAGAACCUUACCAAAUCUUGACAUCCUUUGAAAACUCUAGAGAUAGAGCCUUCCCCUUCGGGGGACAAAGUGACAGGUGGUGCAUGGUUGUCGUCAGCUCGUGUCGUGAGAUGUUGGGUUAAGUCCCGCAACGAGCGCAACCCUUAAGCUUAGUUGCCAUCAUUAAGUUGGGCACUCUAGGUUGACUGCCGGUGACAAACCGGAGGAAGGUGGGGAUGACGUCAAAUCAUCAUGCCCCUUAUGAUUUGGGCUACACACGUGCUACAAUGGACAAUACAAAGGGCAGCUAAACCGCGAGGUCAUGCAAAUCCCAUAAAGUUGUUCUCAGUUCGGAUUGUAGUCUGCAACUCGACUACAUGAAGCUGGAAUCGCUAGUAAUCGUAGAUCAGCAUGCUACGGUGAAUACGUUCCCGGGUCUUGUACACACCGCCCGUCACACCACGAGAGUUUGUAACACCCGAAGCCGGUGGAGUAACCAUUUAUGGAGCUAGCC